rnacentral:lncRNA from 1 species
GGGGGUUGGAGCAAAGCCUGGAGUGCUGGUGGGAGUGGAUUCCUGGUAGAGGGGACGGCAGGUACAAAGGCUCUGAUGCAGGGUGUGCCAGCAGUGUUUCUGGAACAGCAAGGAGGCCAGUGUGGCCAGAGCAGAGGGGCCGAGGGGGAGGGCGGGGGAGGGGCUCACGGGAUGAGGUCUGAGUGGCGCAGGUCAAGGCCUCUUGUAAGGAGGCGGCUUGGGCUCUGCCUGCAAUGUGGGGAGGCUCUGACCUUGGGUUCUAAGGGACCCCUUUGGCUGCUGACUCGAGAACAGGCUGUCAGUGGCAGUUAGGAGGCCAGGAUGAGGUCAAGCCCCAGGUCUGUCAAUCAUGGCCCCAGGCCCUCUCCAGUGUCAUCUCUUGCCUCGUCCCUGCUUGUCCCUCAGUGUCUCCACACGCGUCUCCCGCUGCACCCCAGUGAGGCCCACCCAGUGGGACGUCUCCCCUUCCUUCCUCAUCUAUUGACCUGGUGAACUUCAGCCUUCGAGACCCGAGCUGUGCCCCUUCCCCAGUGAAGCCUCUCUGGGCUCCUUUGCCUCUCAAUGGCAUGCUCACCACUCCCUCCUCUCGGUGUUCCAGAACCUUCCAUGUCCCCCCACCGCUGUGUGGACCAUGAUUGAACACUUCCCACGCCAGGUCCCAUUUGACCCUGAAACAGUCACACAAGGUGAAGAAACUGAGGACCCGCCCUUCCCCACGAGGGCUCUCCAGUCCCCAGCCCGUCUCCUCUGCUGGGCAGCCCCCGCUGGUCCUUCAGGGCUCCGCAAGCGGCUCAGAGGUCACUCCCUCCUCACCAGGCAGCCGAUCUGCUUUCCCGGCCUCCCAGAAUCCGAGGUGCCUCCCUCUCGUCUCGUCACCUGGCUGUGGUCCUGGCGUGCGCCUCCUGCACCUGUCUGUGUCAGCACCCGCCGAGAUGGGGCCCAGUGUGGAGGGGGAGCGAUGGAUGAGGUACCACCUGGGACUCCUUCCCCGACAGCCUUCCCUGCGGGCAGGGACUCCUCCCGGGCUCCUUCUGGCGGACACCGUGACCACAGCGCGUGUCACUGCAGGGCAGGAGCGCAGCCCACGCGCCACUGCGUCCACGUGGAGGGAACGCAGGUGCCGAGGCUCUGAAGGCUUAACCAGGAAAACACAGGACUCCCAGCUCACUUCGAAUUUCAGAAAACAAAGAAUUACGACUUUCAGUAGAAGGAUGUCCCACGUUAGAUUUGGGAUAUAGUUAUACUAAAGAAUUAUUCUUUGCUUGCCUGAAACUCAAAUUUACCCAGACAUCCUGUGCUUGAUUUGGCAGCCCUGCGCCGGCCUCGCUCCCCAGCCCUCCUUCACGCCCCCGGGAGCAGCUGAUUCCCAGACGAGCCUGGGAGGAGGGAACAGCCGCAGCCUCUCCUCUCUUCCUCUUGAAAGGUGGCGUGUGGGGCUGGGGCCGAGCGCCCGACAGCCAGUGUCCAAAUCCCGGCCGGGCCGCCUGCCGUGACCCCGGGCACCCUCCUUACCCUCUCCACCUCGCUGUACUUAGCUGUUGGAGCUAGGAGCCUAAACCCUGCUUCCAGCUCUCAACUGGGCUGUUUACUGACCUGCGCGUCUGCAUCCCACGCCAUCAUGGGCUCUGUGAGGGCCGGGACUGUGUUCUCUGCCACCACAUCCCCAACCAGGGCCAGGC